rnacentral:tRNA from 1 species
GUUAAAGUAGCAGAGCAUGGUACUGCCAAAGGCCUAAGCCCUUUUUACAGAGGUUCAAAUCCCCUCUUUAACU